GAUGAACGCUAGCGACAGGCUUAACACAUGCAAGUCGAGGGGCAGCAUAAAAGUAGCAAUACUUUGGUGGCGACCGGCGCACGGGUGAGUAACGCGUAUGCAACCUACCUAUCAGAGGGGGAUAACCCGGCGAAAGUCGGACUAAUACCGCAUAAAACAGGGGCACCGCAUGGUGAUAUUUGUUAAAAAUUUAUUGCUGAUAGAUGGGCAUGCGUUCCAUUAGGUAGUUGGAGAGGUAACGGCUCACCAAGCCAACGAUGGAUAGGGGAACUGAGAGGUUGGUCCCCCACACUGGUACUGAGACACGGACCAGACUCCUACGGGAGGCAGCAGUGAGGAAUAUUGGUCAAUGGGCGAGAGCCUGAACCAGCCAAGUCGCGUGAAGGAAGAAGGAUCUAUGGUUCGUAAACUUCUUUUGCAGGGGAAUAAAGUGCAGGACGUGUCCUGUUUUGUAUGUACCCUGAGAAUAAGGAUCGGCUAACUCCGUGCCAGCAGCCGCGGU
rnacentral:rRNA from 1 species